GCAUUAGUAGCUCAGCACUCAGAGCUCCGGUCUUGUAAACCGGUUGUCGAGGGUUAAAAUCCCUCCUGAUGCU
rnacentral:tRNA from 1 species